UUGGGUUGGCCGUUUUCAGCCAUUUUCGGUCGAAUUCGGCCAAAAUUGCAUUAGUUCUUGCGAUAAAACAACCCUAGGGCCCUCGUUGGGCCAAAAAAUUACGAAAAACUGAGACUUACCGGCGGCGGAGCACUCAGAUGUGGCGGCUUCUCCGGUGCGAGUCACGAUUUGUAUUUUGCUCCGGUCAACUUGUAGAGAAAAGGACGGUGAUCACAGUGGUGUAAAAAUUACAUCGAACAGGAAUCGGAAAGGGUCUCAUCGGAGGUAAAAAUCGAGGGAAGCCGCGGCGGCGACGCUGGACUUCAGCGGUGUUUUUCGGUCGAUUGGCUGGUGUUUGGCUCCAAUUUGGCCAUAGGCGGAUUCAACAUCGAAAAACGAGCCAUGGGAAGAAAAUUUACCUCAUUUGAUGGUCGAAAAAACCUCUGGUGCGGCGGCGGGUAGCAGCGGCCGGCUCCUCCGGUGACUGGUUCUUCUUCUCCGGCGAGGGUUCUGGCGGCUAGGGUUUGGGGUCGGGUGUGGGUGAGGUUAUUUAUAAUAUUUUUCUUUUAAUCUCAGCCGUCCAUCACGAUUUAAUCUGGGUCGUCCGAUCAUGAUUAAAAUGGAAAUAAAUCUGGACCGUCCAUCACGAUGCGAUCUGGGCUGUCCGUGCGUGAUUCAAUCUGGGUUGUCCGCACGCGUGAGAUCUGGGCCGUCCGUGCGCGUGAGAUCUGGGUCGUCCGCACGUGUGAGAUCUGG
rnacentral:lncRNA from 1 species